rnacentral:tRNA from 1 species
GGUGGCUCAAUGGUAGAGUGUUUGCCUUGCAUGCAUGAGGCCCUGGGUUCAAUUCCUCAGCACCA